GUGAGGAAUAUUGGUCAAUGGGCGAGAGCCUGAACCAGCCAAGUCGCGUGAAGGAUGAAGGUUCUAUGGAUUGUAAACUUCUUUUGUAAGGGAAUAAAAAGUGGUACGUGUACCAUAUUGUAUGUACUUUACGAAUAAGGAUCGGCUAACUCCGUGCCAGCAGCCGCGGUAAUACGGAGGAUCCAAGCGUUAUCCGGAUUUAUUGGGUUUAAAGGGUGCGUAGGCGGAUCUUUAAGUCAGUGGUGAAAGUUUGCGGCUCAACCGUAAAAUUGCCAUUGAAACUGAAGAUCUUGAGUGCAAAUGAGGUAGGCGGAAUGUGUUGUGUAGCGGUGAAAUGCUUAGAUAUAACACAGAACCCCGAUUGCGAAGGCAGCUUACUGGGAUGCAACUGACGCUGAGGCACGAAAGCGUGGGGAUCGAACAGGAUUAGAUACCCGAGUAGUCC
rnacentral:rRNA from 1 species